ACGCACGCUGGCGGCGUGCUUAACCCAUGCAAGUCGUGCGGUAAGGCCCUUUCGGGGGUCCCCGAGCGGCGAACGGGUGAGUAACACGUGAGCAACCUGCCCUUCACUUUGGGAUAACUGCCGGAAACGGUGGCUAAUACCGGAUAUGACUUCCUCACGCAUGUGGGGUGGUGGAAAGCCUUCGGGUGGUGGGGGAUGGGCUCGCGGUCUAUCAGCUUGUUGGUGGGGUGAUGGCCUACCAAGGCUUCGACGGGUAGCCGGCCUGAGAGGGUGACCGGCCACACUGGGACUGAGACACGGCCCAGACUCCUACGGGAGGCAGCAGUGGGGAAUAUUGGACAAUGGGCGAAAGCCUGAUCCAGCAACGCCGCGUGAGGGAUGACGGCCUUCGGGUUGUAAACCUCUUUCGCCUGCGACGAAGCGAGAGUGACGGUAGCAGGUAAAGAAGCACCGGCCAACUACGUG
rnacentral:rRNA from 1 species